rnacentral:rRNA from 1 species
AGUGAACGCUGGCGGUAGGCCUAACACAUGCAAGUCGAACGGCAGCACAGUAAGAGCUUGCUCUUACGGGUGGCGAGUGGCGGACGGGUGGGGAAUACAUCGGAAUCUACUUUUUCGUGGGGGAUAACGUAGGGACACUUACGCUAAUACCGCAUACGACCUACGGGUGAAAGCAGGGGAUCUUCGGACCUUGCGCGAUUGAAUGAGCCGAUGUCGGAUUAGCUAGUUGGCGGGGUAAAGGCCCACCAAGGCGACGAUCCGUAGCUGGUCUGAGAGGAUGAUCAGCCACACUGGAACUGAGACACGGUCCAGACUCCUACGGGAGGCAGCAGUGGGGAAUAUUGGACAAUGGGCGCAAGCCUGAUCCAGCCAUACCGCGUGGGUGAAGAAGGCCUUCGGGUUGUAAAGCCCUUUUGUUGGGAAAGAAAAGCAGCAGGUUAAUACCCCGCUGUUCUGACGGUACCCAAAGAAUAAGCACCGGCUAACUUCGUG